rnacentral:rRNA from 1 species
UGGGGAAUAUUGCACAAUGGGCGCAAGCCUGAUGCAGCCAUGCCGCGUGUGUGAAGAAGGCCUUCGGGUUGUAAAGCACUUUCAGCGAGGAGGAAGGGUAGUGUGUUAAUAGCACAUUGCAUUGACGUUACUCGCAGAAGAAGCACCGGCUAACUCCGUGCCAGCAGCCGCGGUAAUACGGAGGGUGCAAGCGUUAACCGGAAUUACUGGGCGUAAAGCGCACGCAGGCGGUUUGUUAAGUCAGAUGUGAAAUCCCCGCGCUUAACGUGGGAACUGCAUUUGAAACUGGCAAGCUAGAGUCUUGUAGAGGGGGGUAGAAUUCCAGGUGUAGCGGUGAAAUGCGUAGAGAUCUGGAGGAAUACCGGUGGCGAAGGCGGCCCCCUGGACAAAGACUGACGCUCAGGUGCGAAAGCGUGGGGAGCAAACA